UACGUAGGGUGCGAGCGUUAAUCGGAAUUACUGGGCGUAAAGUGUGCGCAGGCGGCGCUGCAAGUCGAGUGUGAAAUCCCCGAGCUUAACUUGGGAAUUGCGCUCGAAUCUACGGCGCUGGAGUAUGGCAUAGGAAGGUGGAAUUCCACGUGUAGCGGUGAAAUGCGUAGAGAUGUGGAGGAACACCGAUGGCGAAGGCAGCCUUCUGGGCCAAUACUGACGCUCAUGCACGAAAGCGUGGGGAGCAAACAGG
rnacentral:rRNA from 1 species